CCUACGGGAGGCAGCAGUGAGGAAUAUUGGUCAAUGGACGAGAGUCUGAACCAGCCACGUAGCGUGAAGGAUGACUGCCCUCUGGUUUGUAACCUUCUUUUAUAUGGAAGUAAAAUGUUCCACGUGUGAGAUUUUGUCUAUACCAUAUGAAUAAGGAUCAGCUAACUCCGUGCCAGCAGCCGAGGUAAUACGGGGGAUCCGAGCGUUAUCCGGGUUUAUUGGGUUUAAAGGGAGCGUAGGCUGAUUGUUAAGUCAGUUGUGAAAGGCUGCGGCUCAACCGUAGAAUUGCAGUUGAAACUGGCAGUCUUGAGUACAGUAGAGGCGGGCGGAAUUCGUGGUGUAGCGGUGAAAUGCUUAGAUAUUACGAAGAACUCCGAUUGCGAAGGCAGUUCACUGGACUGCAACUGACACUGAGGCUCGAAAGUGUGGGGAUCAAACAGGAUUAGAUACCCGAGUAGUC
rnacentral:rRNA from 1 species